UUGAUGGGUAGAUGGUAACAUCAUGUCUGUUCAUCAUUACUCAGCAGACCUGGUUCCAUCAGAUGUGACUGCCCUUCAGGCCUUACAGAAGGUGAUUUGUUGAAACAAGUCUGUCUCCUCCGUUAGACUAAGCUCCGCGAGGGGUGAGAAAGUUGUUCCGUCCACUCGUCCUCCGGGGCUAGCAGGACAUAUUCUGUAUUAAAUGAGUAGAUGACAGAAACCCCGUGAGAGAAAGAGUGAGCCGAGCCAGUGGUUCUCUAAGUGUGGCUCCAGGACCAGCGGACCAGCAGCUCAGCAUCGCCUGAGGAUUUGUUAGAAAUGCAAAUUCUCUGACUUGGUUGGGGGACCCAGCAAUCCGGGUUUGAAAGAACUGUCCAAGGGGGGAUUCCUGUGCACACUGAAGUUUGAGAACCACCGAAGGCGGCAAAUCCCCUGCUGUUGGGUGAGUGUGCACUGUGGCAGCUUUGGUGACCUGUAAGAGGAACCAUGGAUGAGCAAACCCCACCUUCAAAUGUAGCAAAGGGCAGAGAGAGGGUGGACACGUCACCCAGACCCCCAAAA
rnacentral:lncRNA from 1 species